ACGAACGCUGGCGGCCUGCCUCACCCCUGCCAGUCGAACGGGUACCUUCGGGUGCUAGUGGCGCACGGGUGCGUAACGCGUGGGAAUCUGCCCUUGGGUUCGGAAUAACUCAGCGAAAGCUGUGCUAAUACCGGAUGAUGUCGAAAGACCAAAGAUUUAUCGCCCGAGGAUGAGCCCGCGUUGGAUUAGCUAGUUGGUGGGGUAAAGGCCUACCAAGGCGACGAUCCAUAGCUGGUCUGAGAGGAUGAUCAGCCACACUGGGACUGAGACACGGCCCAGACUCCUACGGGAGGCAGCAGUGGGGAAUAUUGGACAAUGGGCGAAAGCCUGAUCCAGCAAUGCCGCGUGAGUGAUGAAGGCCUUAGGGUUGUAAAGCUCUUUUACCCGGGAUGAUAAUGACAGUACCGGGAGAAUAAGCUCCGGCUAACUCCGUG
rnacentral:rRNA from 1 species